CCACGGAUAGCUCAGCUGGAAGAGCAUCAGAUUGUUAAUCUGACUGUCGAAGGUUCGAUUCCUUCUCCAUUGGCCU
rnacentral:tRNA from 1 species